rnacentral:rRNA from 1 species
UGGGGAAUAUUGGACAAUGGGCGCAAGCCUGAUCCAGCCAUGCCGCGUGAGUGAUGAAGGCCCUAGGGUUGUAAAGCUCUUUCACCGGUGAAGAUAAUGACGGUAACCGGAGAAGAAGCCCCGGCUAACUUCGUGCCAGCAGCCGCGGUAAUACGAAGGGGGCUAGCGUUGUUCGGAUUUACUGGGCGUAAAGCGCACGUAGGCGGACUAUUAAGUCAGGGGUGAAAUCCCGGGGCUCAACCCCGGAACUGCCUUUGAUACUGGUAGUCGUGAAGUCGGGAGAAGGGGAUGGAAUUCCGGGUGUUGAGGUGAAAUUAGUAGAUAUUCUGGGGAACAACAGGUGCGGAGGCGGCCCACUUGCUCGAUUCUGACGCCGGGGUGCGGAAGCGUGGGGAGCAAACAGG